rnacentral:tRNA from 1 species
GCUCUUGUGGCGCAAUUGGCUAGCGCAUCUGACUGUUAAUCAGGAGGUUGGUGGUUCAAGCCCACCCAGGAGUG